UCUAUGCUUUUCUCCUCAGACUGGGACACAGCCGCCCAGGAAAUUCUCCCCAGGCUGAUGACUCCUGCUGGCGUUCCUGUUCUCUGUAAUUCUCUCUUAGCCUGUGGACCACUGUCUUCCAGGAAGUCCAGGCCACGGCCAUCCCUUUCUUUUUAAACUAGGAAACUCCCAAGAGGACCCCUGCUCUCCGGACCUCAUGAGCGGAAUGGCCUGGCUUGGUUUCUCAUCAGCUCAACGCUGGUGAUUAGGACAUCCCGUAGGAAACCCAACCAUCCUUCUGUCUAGGUGGCAUCGAAGCAGCCUGAACAGGAGGCCCAGGUGGCAGGGAGAGGGUUAAAUGCACUAGGCCAGAUGGAGGACUCCCAUUUGGAGGAGCUGCCCAGCCCUAGGCAAGUCCCUGAUCCUCAGAACCCAGCGCUGGAGAUCUCUGAGCCGCAGGAGCCACCAGCCAGGAGACGCCAUCUCAGCACCUUCUCCUCCUCCAGGCCUCCCCCUCCCUUUUGAAUGCUGGUUCCUUCCAAACCCAGCUCUUGGAACAAUGGAUGAAGAGGGGGCCGGAGGAGGCGGCUCCCCACCCCUGGUUAGAAAACCCAGAGGCCUGGCUGCAUCACGCAGGCAGCUUGGCCUUGUAAGGGCUUUUCCUGCAGGACAGACCCAGUUGCCAUCCUGGGUCCUGGGCUCCCGCACGACCAACCCCCAGCCGGGAACUCGAUCAGCAAAGCAAGGUGGCAAAGAGGGUGGCAACGAGCAACCAGUGCCUCUGCCCCCUUUGCUCCCUUCCCGUCCACCUGAUGCCUUCAGGUGCAACCUGAGCCGUGGGGCUACAGCCUCAGUCAGUGUAAAGAGCCUCGCUCACUCCCAGUCUGAAUCGGGAAGAGAAAGGGCCCAGCUGCAAACACAUCCUGUCUCCUUCAAGGGUUUCUCCCUGGAUGGCUGAUGGGAUGAGAUGGAAGGCUCUUGCUGCUGACACCCCCCAGGAGCAGCUUUUCCGUGGAGGCCUCCCACGGUGUUGGAGCCGGAAGGUGGCCGGCAGCUGGCCACCCUCACCCCACUCCACUGAGAGCUAUGUGAUGGCCCUGGCUUUGGGAUCAAGACCUCCUGCUCUUAAGAAAACAGAUCCGAAAUCUUGGCCUCAAAAUAAAAUAUGUUCAGAGGAAGCAAGUAAUCCUCAGAGUGAAACACAGGCCACAGGAUAGAGGAAAAAGGUCUCAGCAGAAAGCUGAGCUCCGGUGACCAUGAGUUCAAGUUCACCCUCCACGGGCUAGUCCUUUUGCUCUGAACACAGCCAAGGAUAGUGCCCUGGCUCUGUGCUGGCUGCGUCCCCAGUCCAUCAAAGGUCAGCCAACUUUUUCCGUAAAGGGCCAGAUAGUAAGUAUUUCCAGCUUUGCAGGCCACAGGGUCCCUGUUGCAAUUACAAUAAUACCCUGGUUUGCGAGCAUAAUUCGCUCCGGAAACAAACUACUCGUAUUGCAAGACAUCGCUCGUUGACCACGUUAAAAG